CUUCCUUUGAAAUUCUACCUUUAUCUCCUUUUAAAAAGUCAAUGAAUUAAUUUGUUAUUACUCAUGAAAACUUUUCUACAGAUUAUUUUUUCGCAGAAAAAUAGAAUGGUGGGAUCUGAGAAAGAGAAAGAAAAAAGAGAGAGUGGAAAGUUUUCAAGAGCUGGAAUUUUUGUAAGGCAGAGGAUGAGAAAAGUGUGGGCCAGGGCAGGGCAGGUAAGUGGUGACACUAAGGAGGAAUUGCCAGCUUGGGUGUACAAUAAAGUUUAAUGGGAAGGGUGCCCCAAAAUAAUUUCAUUGCAGGAUCUGGUCCAAGACCAGUUCUGACUCUCAUCACCCUUUCUCUAGCAUGCUUUCACUCUGCAGCCCUCAGCUCCCAGCCCCUUACACUGGUUUCCCUCUUGAGCAUUAUCUGCUCAGUGAUGACCUCUGAUCCAUUCUGCCAAUAGUUAUCCCAGACUCUUUCUGUCUCUCUACAGAGAGAAGGUGUGGGUGGACAAAGCAAAGCAGAGCCCUGACCUCACACCAGCUGGCUGAGCUGUCUUGGCUUGCAUUUGCUGUUCCAGCAUUUGUGGAGUUUGAAAUCUGCAUGCUUGGAGUGCGGAGAGCUGGAUCUUGCACCACAGUCUCCCUGUGGGCUCUUGAAUGAGAAAACCAGGGGAAGCAGAGGUAAGAACCUGUUCAAGAAGGCACAUCUCAGAUGUGGAAGAACCAUGAUUCAACUCGAGUCUGUCUGCUUCCCAAGACUGUGGUAUUUAAACAGCUUAUAAUGAAAAUUCCUUCUAUAGCUCCCCAUAAAAGGGCACACAGUUCUUUCUUAACGUAUUAUUUCAGGCAUUCAUUCACCAUUGAUGUAUUUGUGAAGGUGUUCUCUCUAAAUAAACUAUUGGGACCUUACUUGACUGUGA
rnacentral:lncRNA from 1 species